GAAGGAAGACCGGAAGGAGGGGGGGAAAGGAAAGAAGGGAGAAGGAGGGAAGAAGGAGAGAAAAAAAAGGGAGAAGAGGGGGGAAAGAAGAGAGAAGGGGGAAGGGGGAAGGAGAGGAAGAAAAGGGGGAGGAGGGAAAGAAGAAGAGGAAGAAAGGAGUAGGGGAGGGAAAACUGGUUGAUAUUCCAGUACCAC
rnacentral:rRNA from 1 species